rnacentral:rRNA from 1 species
ACGAAGGUGGCGAGCGUUAUUCGGAUUUACUGGGCAUAAAGCGCGCGUAGGCGGCUCGGUCAGUCGGAGGUGAAAGCCCACAGCUCAACUGUGGAACUGCCCUCGAUACUGCCGAGCUUGAGUGCAGGAGGGGUGACCGGAACUCCAGGUGUAGCGGUGAAAUGCGUAGAUAUCUGGAGGAACACCAGAGGCGAAGGCGGGUCACUGGACUGCAACUGACGCUGAGGUGCGAAAGCUAGGGGAGCGAACAGG